GAUGAACGCUGGCGGCGCGCCUAACACAUGCAAGUCGAACGAUUAAAGCACCUUCGGGUGUGUAUAAAGUGGCGAACGGCUGAGUAACACGUGGGCAACCUGCCCCUUUCAUUGGGAUAGCCACGGGAAACCGUGGAUAAUACCGAAUACUUCGAGCCUUCCGCAUGGAAGACUCGAGAAAGCUCCGGCGGAGAGGGAUGGGCCCGCGGCCUGUUAGCUUGUUGGUGGGGUAACGGCCUACCAAGGCAAUGCUGGGUAGUGGGUUGAGAGACCGACCAGCCAGAGUGGGACUGAGACACGGCCCAGACUCCUACGGGAGGCAGCAGUGGGGAAUCUUGCACAAUGGGCGAAAGCCUGAUGCAGCGACGCCGCGUGCGGGAUGAAGGCCUUCGGGUUGUAAACCGCGUUCAGCAGGGACGAGGCGAAAGUGACGGUACCUGCAGAAGAAGCCCCGGCUAACUACGUG
rnacentral:rRNA from 1 species